GACGCGGGCAGAGAACGCUCCAGGCAGCUGCUUUCUGGGGAUUCCAGGCAACGGAAACGGCAUCGGCCCCGCCCCGCCCCCGCCGGCCCAUCCCUGCGUGCCUCCGACACGCCCCUGCCCGGGCUUCAGUGCGCCUGCGUGGAGCCCGGCCGGUCCGAGUUCUCGCAGCCUGGGAGGGGCGCGGCUCCCUGAGGGCCCCGGGGACAGCCUGGCCUUCGCGCAGCGGGAGGGCGUGGGGAGUUGUCCAGGACUCCGUGUUUGGGAUCGCUGGGGCCUCCCUCCCCUCUGUGGCCGCAGGAACGCGGGCCUCACCCGGUGCUCGGCCUUAACGGUGUAGGGGCGUGAAGACCAGACAGUCUCUGCGGGCAAGGACAGCGCGUCUUUGACCACGGUUUAGAAUUCCCAAGUUUAUUUUUAAGUUUGUUUAAAAAAAAAAGUGUCAAUCGUUGCUUCCUAGAUGGCCUUCUCUUAAAUGUAUAUAUCUCGAUGGUGACUUGCUUGGGAAAUUUAGAAACCUCCGCCUGGGAUCGGUUCCUAUUUUCAGAACCAGCCUAGAACUUUCAAAUAACUUAAAUUUGAGCCAUUCCCUAUUAUUAGUUAAACGUAAAAUACAUGAGUAUGAGAGAGAGAAAGACAGACGGAGACAGACACUACAGGAGAUUGUACUAGGCUGGUGCAGAGAAUGCAAAGACAGAAAGACAGUGCCCUCCUCAGACUUACUAGCGUGGCGAGAGGGGCGGCACCGGGCGGGCGCCGGGAAGCAAGAGGACAGAAGCCGGCAACCCUAGACGCAGUAAGAUAUUCUAGGAUGAGAAGCGCAAAGUGCUGUGGAGAUUCAAGGGAAUGAUACACCUGCUACGUAAUACAAUCCCACACUUUACUGUUAUUUGGUCCUUUGAGGAUUUUUCAAUUUUGGAAAUAAGUUGCAUCCAUAGAGCUACGUCUUUGAAGGUUACCUGGCCUCACCUGGCACAUAGCGGCGUCCUGAGGGAUGAGAGUGUAGGAUGGGGAAAGGCCUGUAUUGCCAAACUGCAACACUGGAAUCCAGAGAAGCUCAUUUCUCUGCUCAUUUGGAAACCCCGAGGCACUGAGGACGCAUACGGAUUUUCCAUCCCUUAAGUGAUGUAUUGGUUGAAAGCCACAAUGCAUUAUAGAUGGGCGUUCCUGGAACAAUGGCUUUUUCUCCAAGGUCACAGUUCUCUUCCAGGACAUCACUGAAAAUGAGAAGAGCACAAACAUAUGCUCGGUGGGGCAGCCUUCCUGAGGAGUCUUGCCAUUUCACAUUUUCCCUAACAACUCAGAAAACAAGCACUCACAGAGGAAGGACAUAAUCUGAAACAUUUCUUUCUAAUUCCCUCCUGCUCAGAACAAACCUUGAGAUCACCAUUUUGCAGCCUACCACGGAAAACACAGUCUCAUCAUAGAACGUACACGUCAAAGUACAGCACUUUUUUAUUUCUAUAGAACAAGUUGAGUACCUGCUUCACAGUUUAUCAGUUCCAUUGAUAAUGAGAACAAUAUAAGCAACUGCCUAGCUUCUGAGUCACAUGAUAUUUGAUUAUUGUUCUUUUCCCAGACAAAGAUACCAAGUAGUAAAAUUAUGGGCCCAGUGACUAAUGACAAGCUACAUUAUCUCUAAGUCGGUUUCAGACUAAGUUUAUCAGGGGUUACCUGUGUCUGACCAGCCACCCCAGCUGCCAAGUACUCAUUGCUGUGGCAGGCUGUUCCUCUAUUUAAUCCACUCCAGGGGCCCUUUCUCAGGAGGGUAUAACCCAGAGAACCCACCACUGCCACUAGGGUGCUUCCCCUGUAUGUAACAUCGACCUCUGUUGUUGUUCCUAUCCCAUUUCAUGGAAAAUCUGUUCACAUAUCUGUCCUGCACACUAGAUUGUGAACUCUUUGAGGACUUAUGUCUUAUUUAUCUCCAGAGUUUCAGUGCCUAGAGCAAAAUAACUGUUCACUGUGUGUUUGUUGAGCCAGUGAACAAAACAAUGAACGGCCAUCAGUUAGGCCCAGUGGUUAAAAAGAUGCACUCUGGUGGCAGAUGUCUGUGGUUUUCAGGUCUGGCUGCCCCACCUUUCAACUGUGAGACAUGGCAUAAUUAACCCAUCUGUGCCUCAGUUAAUCUGUUAAGUGGGGUUAAGAAUAGAACUUCCUGCAUAGGUUUGUUGAGUAGUGUGUAUGAAGCAUGUAGAAAAAUGUAGGCACACUAAUGUUUAAUACCUGUUCACUGUGGUUGAUAUCGUCAUUAAUAUGAUUAUUAUUACUAGGCAAUAAUAAUACCGCUACUAAUACUGGAAUAAUUCCUGACAUGGGUUCAAGUUCUUUAUACCAGAGCCUUUGACAGUAAGGAGGCAAGCCAGAUAUAUUCCACAUGGUGGACAGACAGCUGAGUGAUGUUUGAAAUGCACUAUGUCAUCUGUGAACAAAAUGUAGCUGAUAUUGGGCAAGUACUUCAUAUGAGCCAGGCAUGUAUUAGAUGUUUUAUAUAUGUGACCUCUUUUUUUUUAAUAGAGUUUAAUUUUUAGAAGUUUUAGGUUCACAACAAAACUGAGGGGAAGGUACAGAGAUUUCCAGUUUACCCCCUGCUCCCACACAUGCGUAGCCUCCACAGUUAUCAACAUCCCCAACUAGAGUGGUACAUUUGUUACAACUGAUGAACCUGCACUGACACAUCACAAUCACCUCAAGACUAUAGCUUAUACUUGGGUUCACUCUUGGUGUUGUACAUUCUGUGGGUUUGGACAAAUGUAUAAUGACACGUCUCCAUCAUUAUAGUAUCAUACACAGUAGUUUCACUGUGCCAAAAAUCCAUUGUAUGUGACCUCUUUUCAUUUUCAAAACAACUAUGAGAACAAUUAUUCUUCAUCCCAUUUUUAAAAGAUGAGAAAAAUGAGGCUUGGAGAGGUUAAACAAUUUACUAAAGAUUAUACAUUAACAAGUGGAUUAUCUGGCCCCAGAGUCCAUGAGCUUUCUGUUCCUGGUUGCUUUCCAAUGGAACAAGCAGAGAGCAGAUGAAUCACAGGAGUAUGAUUAAUGUUCCCUAGAGCAGCACCCAAUUUAUGAGGACAUAAGCCAGUGUCACCAGGCCUCUUCAGCCUGUGGUGCUAAUGAGGUCCCAUGAACAGUAACAUACAAAUAAUGGUGGUUCUUAGGCCUCCUUCCAGCCCUGAAUGAAGCCCCUUGGAUAUAUUUCUGGGAGUUGAAGUACACAAUUCUUUGAAAAAAUAUAUUAAUGAAAAUCACUAUUAAAUUAUUACACAAUCAUAAUUAAGUAAUAACGCACAACAUUUCCCCAAGGUGUCUGAACUACACUCUGCCCAGCUACAAAACUCGAAGGAGGGACUUCAUAUAUUCUAACCCAUGGUCAGCCACAGCUCAUUUCUCAAAGAGGCAUUGAUGUAACUCGGUGUUUUUAAAUCACAACAUUGUUUUGAAAUCACUAAAACCAUCAAGUUGUAAAUACUAUUAUCUUCAUCUUAUGGGUGGAGAAACAGCAUUUUUGAGAGUUAAAUGCCUUGUCUAAAGUCCUAUAGUUAAUAAGGAGCGGAGUAGGAUUGAAACUCAGAUUUGCAGCUUCCACACUGACUCUCUGACAACCAGCUGUGGAAAAGCUUUGUGACAGGCACUGUACCAAGGGCUAGAGGUGGAAAAGUGAGUAAGACAUAGUUCCUACCCUUGCUGGGGAGACAGACCUAUGAAUAAUUAUAAUAAUAUGUAAAUAUGGUGGUAGAAGAUAUACAUAAAAUACCACUGGAACACAUGGAAUUCUUUAAAAGGAUGUGACAUUUGAGCUGGGUGUUGGAGGGUGAGUAGGAGUUUGCCCAGAAAGGGAAGUACGUUGUAAGCAGAAGGCAAGGCUUGUGCGUGGAGUGUGAGGGAAUCAGGUUGAGUGAUUUCUUGAUUCACGCUGCAUUUUAAAAGGUGAGACAUUUUAAAUUAUGUUAUUCAUGACACAAUACUAAUAAACCUUGCAAAAGUGUCCUUUAAGCAUGUCUACUCGGUAAGUCCUAAAAUAUAUGUAACUAAUUAAAGUCACUUAA